rnacentral:rRNA from 1 species
CAGUCGCCGCGGUAAUACGUAGGUGGCAAGCGUUGUCCGGAAUUAUUGGGCGUAAUGGGCUCGCAGGCGGUUUCUUAAGUCUGAUGUGAAAGCCCCCGGCUCAACCGGGGAGGGUCAUUGGAAACUGGGAAACUUGAGUGCAGAAGAGGAGAGUGGAAUUCCACGUGUAGCGGUGAAAUGCGUAGAGAUGUGGAGGAACACCAGUGGCGAAGGCGACUCUCUGGUCUGUAACUGACGCUGAGGAGCGAAAGCGUGGGGAGCGAACAGGAUUAGAUACCCCAGUAGUCCCUGUCUCUUAUAC